UCGAGCAAAAACGAUAAUCUCUCACGCUCUCACUAAGCCUGCUAAAAUAUAGCAGUCGCCCUCAAAUCACAUCUUGUCGUCUUAAAAAGGGAAGGCCACGUUGUGGUUUUAAAUGCAGUGUCUAAAUAUAUGACAGGAUUGUCAUGGCUGGAACGCCUUUGAUCAUAGGUUUGAUCCAUGUAGGAUGAUAAUACGAGUUUAAGAAGUAAACAAGCGAACAAACAAUGCCGUUCUUUAUCGUCAUAAACAAAAUCAUUAAGACAUUGCUAAAUAAAAGGUUAAGAAGGAUGCAGUUAGGGCAGGUUUUGAUAAAGCGUUGGGACUUUUAAAUAGAAAGAUAUCUACCGCAUAGUUUAGAUAUAAAUGAUGAUAAUGACGAGAGUGUUGGUGAUGAACGAGCCAAGUUCAUUGCUAAGUUUCGCUUUUCGUGCUUGAAUCUAAUCCGUUUUAAGAUCAGUUCAACACAUAGACUAACCGAGACAUAGACAACCGAAUCAUAAAUAGACAGGUCGAUAAUAUGCCUACAGGACAUUCUUUCCAUCAAGCGUCGAUUGCAGAUCACAACGAUUUGAAAAUCUUCCAACAGUAUCGUUUCUCAGUGUCAUUCGACCAAUGUUGUCCUUUAUCGAUCCCAAAAGGUUGAAUAUCGAAGUAAAACUUCAACAGGAUUUGAACUCAAGAUAUAAAAAGGAUAUGGUCUCGAGCCAGGACCCUGUCCUUCAGGUCCUUUUUCCAGUCCUCAAUCGAAGCCAACUUUGCCUUUCAUCCAUCCGGGGCCGAUAAAAAAACGUAUCAGUCAAGUAAUGGGGAUCAAUGGUAUCGGCUAACACUCUCCCUUCAAGACCGCUGGCCUUGUGCCUAAAUCGCGAACAACAACAGUAGCAGCAGCAGCAGUAAUAGUAGUAGUAGUAGUAGUAGUAGUAGUAGUAGUAGUAGUAGUAGUAGUAGUAGAUGACGACGACGACUAUAGCGAUGAUGAACUCAUUUUAGAGUUAGGGUUAGGGUCUUAAGGUUAGGGAUAGGGUUUUAGAGUUAGGGUUAGGGUUUUAGCGUUAGGAUUAGGGUUUUAAAGUUAGGGUUAGGGUUUUAGGAUUAGGGUUAGGGUUUUAGAGUUAGGGUAGGGUUUUAGGUUUAGGGUUGGGGUUAGAGUUAGAGUUACGGAAAAAUGUGAAAAAUGAAGAAACUGGAGUGGGGGAAAUGUCUUUUUCGAAAAUAGUAGCUGAAAAACAGGAAAAAAAAACUAAAAGCAGUAGAAAUACACGAACGAUUGUGGUGGUGUCAUGAAGUAAACAUGCUUCAGAUACACUAGUUUAUUCAAACAAACGUAACUGAGAUGAAAUAUGUCAUAAAUAACAGUGACAAACGAAAUGUAGACCGCCAGAAAUUGUUGUUGGCAAACAACAGCUGUAAUUUUAUUCAGCUGAAUACACGCCAUUGAUUGGUUGAAAUUACCGAAAUACAACAACUUUAACACGAAAUAACUUUGAAAAUAUAAAAUUUUCUCAACACCACUAAGAGUAAAAGAUGUUUUAUAUGACACAUUCUACCAGUGUCCGAAGUUUGAAAGUGUUUAGUUACAAAAAAUUAUUUUCUCGAUGUGCUGUUCAAAGGGAAAAGAUCCCAGCUUAACCCUGAUCAGAUAGACCUUAUUUAUCAAAGACAUUCCAGCCUUGAUUAUCCGGGGGUUUGAGGUGGCGUUUUUUUAAGGCGGUUGGUUGCUAUUUUUAACGGGAUGGGCAACCACGUAGAGAUUACCUCGUGUUGCUUGAGAUAAGGUUUAAUAGAGUUCAUCAUCUGUUCGUUAAUGGAUGUCUCAAUCAACGGUGCUAUUUUUAAAAAUUCGUUCAAAUAAUAUAGAUGUUUUUUUUAUUAUUAUUUAUACCUGAUGAAAACAGUUCUGUGUUGACUAACAGAAUAAAACAGAAUUGUUCUUAACUGCUUUCAGUAAAUGUAUAUUGAUCUGAUUAUAUUUGAUUUAGAGAUGAUCUUUGUUAAAGAGAGAGAAAAGUCAGAUAAGGAUUACAAUUGAUUUGCCUAUUUUCUAUACAGUUAUAUGACUGUCCUUAUUUGUCAUCGUUAAAACACUCCUUGCCUCGGUUAUGCACAGACUGUUUUUCUUCCGCAUACACGCAACACGCAUACACACAGCACACACACACAUACACCACCGCAAAAAAAUUAAACAAACAUAAAUGCUCCACCAUAGUCGUUUUUUACAGCUUCCACUCACCCUCCUUUACAGAAGCAACAAAAGCAUAAGCAGGCGCAAAUGGCACGCGAGUAAGAAAAAUACCAGACAAGACACACUUCGACGAUAUUUAGACAACAGUUGUAAGUUAUAUGCAAUUGUUUCACUGCGAAGUACAACUUACUAAUUGAUUAAGUAACCAACAUGUUUAUUCUAAUUAUAUACCUGCAGUGGGUAGAUUUGUUUAACGUAAUAAACCACAAUAUCAGCCAUUUCUGAGAGUAAGAGAGGAAAAAGAAGAACAAAUAAAUAAAUAAAUAUAACCGCAGCAUGGCUGUGUGGUUAAGACGUUCGCUUUGCAAUCAAGAAGUUUAAGGUUCAGUCCCAUUUAUUUAGCAGCUUGGCGGGUGUUUUCUAUUUUCGCCAAGGGCUGGUCAAUACUUUGUGAGUGAAUUUGGUAGAAGAAACCUGUGCGGAAGCCCACCAUGUAUGUGUGUAUAUAUAUAUAUAUAUAUAUAUAUAUGUAGUGAAACUACCUCCCGCCAUUAGAUACAAACUACUAUCGCCAUUACAUACAAUCUUCUCAUUUAAAUAUAAAUAAAUGCGAGCGUAGUAGAGAACCCAUUCCUUGUCCAUCACGUGACUGAUCAUUAUUCGAAUCGGCAACUUCUUCGAACCGUUCCCGCCAGAACGCAAACUGACCAAUCACGGCCCCUAAUAAGGUCACGUGAUAGAGUAAAAUUCUGAA